rnacentral:lncRNA from 1 species
UGUAGGUGAUCAAAUUCUUAUUAUUCUUAUCGAGUUCGACAAGUUCGCAUCCCGAACCUAGAUACCAAAGUAUCUAUCUGACGGACGCGGUACUCUAUCGGAUCUCCUUAAUGGUGCCUUUACAAUGAAUUUCGGGUUUGAUUUAAUCAAAUUCAGUUCUAUGAUUUCACUAGAUUGUAUCGGUUGUUCUACCUAUCGAACUUCAUAAGUUCCACAUUAAAGACAUCAAUACCUUCACCAAGGUACUCCCUUUCUAAAAGGAAUGCCGAACAAUUUUUGUUCUUUAGCAAGGUAGAAGUUAUAUCCCCUAGAUUCUUUGGGGUUACCAUAUAAAUAAUAUAUAUAAGACCAAGAUCCAAGCUAAUCGAUCUGC